rnacentral:rRNA from 1 species
CCUAGCCGCAUGCAGGGGGAUACCGGCUGGAAACAGCCGCUAAUACCGCAUAUGCGCACAGCGCCGCAUGGCGCAGUGCGGAAAAGGGAGCAAUCCCGGCAUGCGAUGGGUCCGCGUCCGAUUAGCUUGUUGGCGGGGCAGCGGCCCACCAAGGCGACGAUCGGUAGCCGGCCUGAGAGGGCGGACGGCCACAUUGAGACGUGAGACACGGCCCAGACUCCUACGGAAGGCAGCAG